rnacentral:piRNA from 1 species
UGCCACAUCCUUUGUUUCCUUGGUCUCCCA